GGGAUUGUAGCUCAGCGGUAGAGCACUCGCCUAGAACCUGUGAAACCCUGGGUUCUAUCCCUAGCACCA
rnacentral:tRNA from 1 species